CUUGAUCGAGCCGAGCCACAGCGGCUGGUCCGCAGGCCGGUCCUGCCCGUACGUGGCCAGCAGGGCCUGGGCCUC
rnacentral:antisense_RNA from 1 species